rnacentral:tRNA from 1 species
ACCUGGCUGGCUCUGUUGGUGGAGCAUUUGACUCAUGAUCUUGGGGUUGUAGGUUCAAGCCCCACGUUGGGUG